AGAGUUUGAUCAUGGCUCAGAUUGAACGCUGGCGGCAUGCCUUACACAUGCAAGUCGAACGGCAGCACGGGAGCAAUCCUGGUGGCGAGUGGCGAACGGGUGAGUAAUAUAUCGGAACGUGCCCAGUCUGGGGGAUAACGUAGCGAAAGCUACGCUAAUACCGCAUACGAUCUAUGGAUGAAAGCGGGGGAUCGCAAGACCUCGCGCGAUUGGAGCGGCCGAUAUCAGAUUAGGUAGUUGGUGGGGUAAAAGCCUACCAAGCCUUCGAUCUGUAGCUGGUCUGAGAGGACGACCAGCCACACUGGAACUGAGACACGGUCCAGACUCCUACGGGAGGCAGCAGUGGGGAAUUUUGGACAAUGGGCGCAAGCCUGAUCCAGCAAUGCCGCGUGCGGGAUGAAGGCCUUCGGGUUGUAAACUGCUUUUGUACGGAACGAAACGGUUCUUUUUAAUAAAGAGAGCUAAUGACGGUACCGUAAGAAUAAGCACCGGCUAACUACGUG
rnacentral:rRNA from 1 species